rnacentral:rRNA from 1 species
GUGGCCCUACGGGGCGCAGCAGUGGGGAAUAUUGCACAAUGGGGGGAACCCUGAUGCAGCGACGCCGCGUGAGUGAAGAAGUAUUUCGGUAUGUAAAGCUCUAUCAGCAGGGAAGAAAUGACGGUACCUGAGUAAGAAGCACCGGCUAAGUACGUGCCAGCAGCCGCGGUAAUACGUAUGGUGCAAGCGUUAUCCGGAUUUACUGGGUGUAAAGGGAGCGCGGGCGGCACGGCAAGCCUGAUGUGAAAGCCCGCGGCCCAACCGCGGGACUGCAUUGGGAACUACCGGGCUGGAGUGCCGGAGAG